AAAUAAAGUUAGUUAGUGAAACUCAAUGUGAAAACAGCAGAUUAUGAGAGUCUGGUAAGGUUCAGGUUCAUAUCGCUAACAUUUUCCUUUUCUUCUCGGUGUGAUUGUGAGUGAUCCAUUACUCCAAAGCCAGAAUCAAAGAGGGAAAGUCUACACGUGUGCUGUUAGUAACGGAAAAUGUUCACCAAUGCAAAUUAAUGUUCCCUCUGAGGCUGUCAACAUGUCACUUGGGCUGUCAAUGACUAAAGAUCACAAGUCUUCAAACGUAGUGGUCUGUGGCCCAACCAUUCCCAAGGACUGUAAG